AUUCCAGCUCCAAUAGCGUAUACUAAAGUUGCUGCGGUUAAAAAGCUCGUAGUUGGAUUUCUGGUCGUGGUCGCCGGUCGUGCCCAAACGGGUUCUGUACCUGGCGCCCGCGUCCAUCCUCGGGGAGAGCGUGUCUGGCAUUAAGUUGUCGGAGUCGGGACCCUCAUCCUUUACUGUGAAAAAAUUAGAGUGUUUAAAGCAGGCUUAGGCCGUUGAAUACAUUAGCAUGGAAUAAUAAGAUAGGACUUUGGUGGUCUAUUUUGUUGGUUUGCACACCAAGGUAAUGAUUAAUAGGGACAGUUGGGGGUAUCCGUAUUUCGUAGUCAGAGGUGAAAUUCUUGGAUUUACGAAAGACGAACUACUGCGAAAGCAUUUACCAAGGAUGUUUUCAUUG
rnacentral:rRNA from 1 species